GCGAAGCACUUUGCUUAGAUUCUUCGGAUGAAGAGGAUUGUGACUGAGCGGCGGACGGGUGAGUAACGCGUGGGUAACCUGCCUCAUACAGGGGGAUAACAGUUAGAAAUGACUGCUAAUACCGCAUAAGACCACAGCACCGCAUGGUGCGGGGGUAAAAACUCCGGUGGUAUGAGAUGGACCCGCGUCUGAUUAGCUAGUUGGUAAGGUAACGGCUUACCAAGGCGACGAUCAGUAGCCGACCUGAGAGGGUGACCGGCCACAUUGGGACUGAGACACGGCCCAAACUCCUACGGGAGGCAGCAGUGGGGAAUAUUGCACAAUGGGGGAAACCCUGAUGCAGCGACGCCGCGUGAGCGAAGAAGUAUUUCGGUAUGUAAAGCUCUAUCAGCAGGGAAGAAAAUGACGGUACCUGACUAAGAAGCACCGGCUAAAUACGUGCCAGCAGCCGCGGUAAUACGUAUGGUGCAAGCGUUAUCCGGAUUUACUGGGUGUAAAGGGAGCGUAGACGGAUGGGCAAGUCUGAUGUGAAAACCCGGGGCUCAACCCCGGGACUGCAUUGGAAACUGUUCAUCUAGAGUGCUGGAGAGGUAAGUGGAAUUCCUAGUGUAGCGGUGAAAUGCGUAGAUAUUAGGAGGAACACCAGUGGCGAAGGCGGCUUACUGGACAGU
rnacentral:rRNA from 1 species